GCCAGUGUGGCGUAGUGGUUUGAGCAUUGGACUAGGACACUGAGAGACCAGGGUUCAAAUCCCAACUCAGCCA
rnacentral:tRNA from 1 species